GAUCGUGACAGCAUAAAUGAAGUCUGGAGAGGCAAGAGAAGUUCAUGUAUGUCACCCCUCUGGUUUGUCAAUGUUGCACGGGGAGCAGUGCUUUCCCUUGGGUACUUCUUAAGUACCCAUUAUAUGUUCUAUGGUUCUGUGUCUUCUGUGCAGGGUGUUAAAGAACAUCCUUACUAUUAUCUGCCUGCUAGAAUGCAUUAAGAAUAUUGUCCCUCUUCAGUUGCACUAGAUUUUCCAGGGCAUAGGGUAUUCUUUCCUUAAUUAAAUACAUAGAAAUAAUCCAGCUUGGCAGGGAAAGGCAGGGGAAUGACACACAAUGAAAGGGUGUUUUGGUACCGAAAAUCUGUGAGUUAGAUAUGAUUCCUGCACCGCACCCCUGGAACAUAGUGGUGAAAUUGGAAACUUCCUUCCCGGUUAAUUGACAAGAUGUAGGUUCAAUUGGUUUCUGAAAAGUCUGAGGUUAAGAUCUUGCUAGUUUUGUUAGAUGAUCCUGUAGUUUUGAAUUAUGUUUUUAAAGGUUCUUUUAAUUGUAGAGUCAGUAUGAGGGGAAAAAGAACCUUGAUGGAUGGAACAAAAUGAGCCUGGCAGUGCAAUAAGAGCCCAUUAAUCCUAUGCAGAGUUGGGCGUGUCUAAACCCAUUAAUCCUAUGCAUACUUAACUCAGAAUGGGAUCAGGCUGUUAAUAAGCAGUUUGCUCUGCUCAGUUUAUGAUUAAGAGAUUCUGCCAGCAGUGAAGAGGUUGUGCCUUUCCUCUCCCCCACUCCACCUGAAUUCAAUGAAUAAUUCAUAUUAGCUGUGGAGGCCAUAAAGUAUGGAUCUCAUAACAUAUGGGAUCAGUGCUUUGAACUACUACCGAUGUGCAGCUAAGUCCCUGGGCUCAGAAAAGAAUAGGGUACAAGCAUAAUAUGUAAUCUUCCGUUCCUUCUACCUGGUAUUUGAAAUGCAUGAUCUCCUUUUUUGUUUUACUGUUUUCCUUGUGUUGUAAUUUCCUUCCCUAUUCCUAAAUGUUUCACUUUGACUAGCAAAGUAACUGAGGCAUUUCAGUGCAUUGUUCCAGGCACUGCUGAUCUCGUUCCAGUGAUGGGUGUCUAACUGGCAGAUGGGAUGAUGGCCAUGUUUGUAUACUCUUGAAAGGUUUUAGUAUCAGAAUUGGGUGCCUGACUGAAGCUGACAGAGAAUGGAAACACUCCCUUGGCAAUGUCUCUGGGAAGACUCCUCCGACGUGCCUCUUCCAAAGCAUCCGACCUCCUGACCUUAAAUGCCAGCAGCAGUGGUGGAGGCUCAUCUUCCAUCUUGGAUGGAGAGAUUAUCUACUCCAAGAACAAUGUUUGUGUCCACCCACCUGAGAUGCUGCAAGGCAUCGUGGAACAUCACCCAGGCUAUCUGUGCCUGUACAUGGAGAAGGAUGAGCUGCUUGGAACCACACUCAUCCUGGCCUGGGUCCCAAAUUCCCGUAUUCAGAGACAGGAUGAAGAGGCCCUCCGCUACAUCACGCCAGAGAGCUCCCCGGUCCGUAAGGCCCCCCGCAAGCGUAACCGCCACACUCAGGGUUUUGGUGCCCCUAUGCAGGCUUCCCCCUCUGAGCAGAAACAAGCUGUGACCCCAAAGGAAGAGGAGGACAUUUUGACUGUGUCGCAGCUGGUUAGGGAUGUGGCUCAUGUCAGCUCCCCUUCUGAAGAAGGGGAGACGCAGCCCCAGGGUUGCCUGACUGCAGACACAAUCCCCAGCUCUGCUCAGCCUGCCAACACUGACUCAGGAAUCUUAUCGACAAUCAGUUCUCAGGAUGAGCAGAACCGGUUGGAGGAGUCAGUGGAGGAAGAAGGGCUGGAGGGCCACCUGGAGGCGGGAGAGGACGAGGGCUCUUUGGAGUUGUCUGCCGAUGAUGUUAGCAGAGACAGCACAUUUGACUCAGACUCGGAUGCUUUCUCUUCUCCGUUUUGUCUCUCGCCCAUAAGUGAAGCACUUGUGGAAAACGUUGGCUCUGUGUUCCUGGUGAAUGACAACAGAGAUCCAUGCGAAAGCCACAUGACUCGUUCAACCAGCUCCAAUUCAAGCCUUGACCCUAACUCCCAGUUCCAGGAGAAUAAUGGGCAAGUGCAGACCUCCCGGUGGGAUGAGCAGCAGAAGGUGUUUGCCCUGGAACAGAUCUGUGGGGUCUUCAGAGUUGAUCUGGGGCAGAUGAGGUCUCUUCGCCUUUUUUUCAGUGAUGAGGCAUGUACCAGCGGGCAGCUUGUUGUCGCUAGCAGGGAGAGUCAGUAUAAGAUUUUCCACUUUCACCAUGGUGGCCUGGAUAAAAUUUCUGAAGUGUUUCAGCAAUGGAAAUACUGCACGGAGACCCAUCUCAAAAACCAGCAAUUCACAGAUGUGAAGACCUGCAUGCAGUUCUCCAUCCGCAGACCCAAGCUGCCCUCCUCAGAGACCCACCCAGAGGAGAAUGCUUACAAGCGCCUAGAUGUCUCUGCAUGGCUCCAUCACCUGAAUGAGGCUGGGCAGGUGGAAGAAGAAUACAAGCUGAGGAAGGCUAUUUUCUUUGGUGGGAUCGAUGUCUCCAUCCGUGGCGAGGUUUGGCCUUUCUUGUUGUGCUACUACAGCUAUGAAUCCACGUCAGAGGAGAGGGAGGCGCUCCGAGUGCAAAAGAGAGAGGAAUACUUUGAGAUCCAGCAGAAAAGGCUCUCCCUGGCUCCAGAGGAGCAGAAGGCCUUCUGGCGGAAUGUGCAGUUCACGGUCGACAAAGACGUAGUGAGAACCGACCGCAGUAACCAGUUCUUCCGAGGAGAGAACAACCCCAAUGUGGAAACGAUGAGGCGCAUCUUGCUGAACUACGCAGUGUACAACCCUUCCAUCGGCUACUCCCAGGGGAUGUCUGACCUCGUUGCCCCCAUCCUUGCUGAGGUCCUGGAUGAAUCAGAUACGUUCUGGUGCUUUGUGGGUUUGAUGCAGAAUACCAUCUUCAUUAGCUCUCCUCGGGAUGAGGAUAUGGAAAAGCAACUGAUGUAUCUGCGGGAACUGCUGCGGCUGAUGCACGGGCGCUUCUACCACCACCUGGCCUCCCUCGGGGAGGACGGCCUUCAGAUGCUCUUCUGCCACCGCUGGAUCCUCCUCUGCUUCAAGCGGGAGUUUCCAGAUGCGGAGGCGCUGCGUAUUUGGGAAGCCUGCUGGGCUCACUACCAGACUGACUAUUUCCACCUCUUCAUCUGCGUGGCGAUUGUGGUGAUUUACGGAGAUGAUGUCAUUGAACAGCAAUUAGCUACUGACCAGAUGCUGCUGCACUUUGGGAAUCUGGCUAUGCACAUGAAUGGGGAGCUCAUACUCAGGAAGGCCAGAAGUUUGCUCUAUCAGUUCCGCCUGCUGCCCCGGAUCCCCUGCAGCCUGCAUGAUCUCUGCAAACUGUGUGGAACAGGCAUGUGGGACAGUGGCUACAUCCCCGCCGUGGAGUGUACGGGAAAUCACCCGGACUCCGACAGCUGCCCUUACGGGGGCAUGGUGGAUGAACCUUCUCCCAAGCCGGGGAACGAAGGCAGGAAGGGACUGAAAUCGCGAGACGUCUUUGCUUUUCGGAAAUGAUAACUCUGGGCUUUGCGUAUGUGAGGGCUGCGAGCGAUGUGUGCGCAAAGAACGUGGCCCAGUCACAGUGUCGGAAGGAUGGGGCUGCUUCUUUUUACACUGCAAAAGAGUCGAAGGAAGGGGAGGACGACGCAGGUGGUGCCUGACAGAAGAAUCUCCUCCAUGGUCAGAGCUGGAUCUUGACUUAAUAAGCAUCGUACCAAGAAGGGCGUUGAACUGACAUUCAUGACUCUUUUGUUGCUUUGCAGUGAAGCACAUCUGAAGGGCCUGCGCAAGGCCGAACUGACCCGUCAGGGUGGUGCAUGCCAGAGUCCCCUCAUCCUCCACCCCAGCCAUGCAGGGGCGAGGGGGGCAUGGUCCCCGUGAGCCAGAAGAGAAGCUGAACCAGAACAGAACUGAGAACGCAAACCCGGGUUACUGGUUCACAGUAUGGGUUCAACCAAGGAACAGAACACCUGAUGUGAUACAUCACUCCACUGGGAUGAGCGUAUAAAAGAGAACCAGAGUCUCGGCAGCUUUAUAUCUGUUGGGUUUGUACAGGCGCCUCCAUUUUGUGUGUUCUGCCUCCUUCAAGGGCUACGUGGAGGCAGCAUGAGGCCAAACUGAACUGGAGGCCUGUUUCCCUCUGCACAGAGGUUUGUUCAACAGCGCAAAUGACACAAGAGAUCCAUCUGUUUAAGGCGGCUCAUUUUCUCCCCUCAUUUGAUUAAAGCGGUCCAAAGCAUAUAUAAUCAUGAAAUUAACUAAUCACAGUGGCAGAUCUGUGCUUGUCUCACUAAGUCAUAUCCAUCCUCUUUAAAAGCAAUUUGGUUGCUGCUUCACCUAUUAUGCAUGCAUCUAGGUGUGUGAUUAACACCGAACAGUAUGAAUGAAAUACAGUAAGCAUUUCAAGUGUUUAUUAUUUUUCACACUUGCUUCAUGUUACUUGCUGGUGAUGUUUGCAGCAGUUUAGACCUGCUGUUUUACUCUGCUGCACCCGGUCAAGGAUCACAACAGGUACCAUCUAUUUUAAUUUGCUCACGUGCAGCAGAAUUAAAGCAGUUGCUUAUGUGUGCGCCAAACCCUUACUGAUUAUAUUGGUCUGAACUAUACCACAGCAACAUAAAUUGCAACUGAACUCUAACUGAAAUAAAAACUUGAAUUGCCUGACCCCCUGCUCCAAUCCUGAAGCAUAGGUCAUCGUAACACCCCACAAAAAGCUAAGAGGGCUGUUCUGAGACCGUGCAGCGCACAGCAGCCCUGCAAUGUAGUCCACUGGAAAUAUUCAAGGGUAAAGGUGAAGCUACUUAAAUUGCCCCCUCUGAAUUCUUUCCCACUUGCAAAUCAGGCAUGGAAAUGCAUGCAAAAGCCUCAUGCUCCACUGGGGCAGAUUGCAGUGCAAUGCAUCUGUGUAACAUGCAGACUGGUUGUACUUAAAAAAAUUCAAAAGAUGAAAUCAAAAACACUUUGCUCAUGAAGUAGGAUCCCGGCUAGAGCAGGGAUUUCCUGUCUUCAGUUCUGGUUUUUGCUUUUAAUCCCCUCAGGCACAGGCAAACUUGCGCGCGUGCACACACACACACACACACACACACACAAAUGUGGGGUACAGUGCAAUGUUUUGCUUAUGCAACUCUUGGAUUGCUGUUUAAACCGCUCAUGUCUUCUCAUGCCCAUGGCAGGUGGUAACUGCACCACAUCCUCCUCAGGAAGCCCUUCCUGUAUAUGAAGUCCUGUUCCUGUUAC